rnacentral:rRNA from 1 species
AGUGGCGAACGGGUGAGUAACACGUGAGUAACCUGCCCCCGACUCUGGGAUAAGCCCGGGAAACUGGGUCUAAUACCGGAUAUGACCAUGGAACGCAUGUUUUGUGGUGGAAAGAUUUAUCGGUGGGGGAUGGACUCGCGGCCUAUCAGCUUGUUGGUGAGGUAAUGGCUCACCAAGGCGACGACGGGUAGCCGGCCUGAGAGGGUGACCGGCCACACUGGGACUGAGACACGGCCCAGACUCCUACGGGAGGCAGCAGUGGGGAAUAUUGCACAAUGGGCGAAAGCCUGAUGCAGCGACGCCGCGUGAGGGAUGACGGCCUUCGGGUUGUAAACCUCUUUCAGUAGGGAAGAAGCGAAAGUGACGGUACCUGCAGAAGAAGCGCCGGCUAACUACGUGCCAGCAGCCGCGGUAAUACGUAGGGCGCAAGCGUUAUCCGGAUUUAUUGGGCGUAAAGAGCUCGUAGGCGGUUUGUCGCGUCUGCCGUGAAAGUCCGAGGCUCAACCUCGGAUCUGCGGUGGGUACGGGCAGACUAGAGUGAUGUAGGGGAGACUGGAAUUCCUGGUGUAGCGGUGAAAUGCGCAGAUAUCAGGAGGAACACCGAUGGCGAAGGCAGGUCUCUGGGCAUUUACUGACGCUGAGGAGCGAAAGCAUGGGGAGCGAACAGGAUUAGAUACCCUGGGUAGUCCAUGCCGGUAAAACGUUGGGCACUAGGGUGUGGGGGGACAUUC